rnacentral:rRNA from 1 species
AUUGCCAUUCUAAUUUUUGAUAAGACUAUUUUAAAAAAAGAAAAAGAAAAAAAGAGAAGAAAUGAAAAGCAAAAAUAAACUAGUAAACUGCUUGAAAAACAAAAACGUCAUUCACAGCCGCAACCACUCGGCACAGAGAAG